UACGAAGGGGGCUAGCGUUGCUCGGAAUCACUGGGCGUAAAGCGCACGUAGGCGGCUUCUUAAGUCAGGGGCGAAAUCCUGGAGCUCAACUCCAGAACUGCCUUUGAUACUGGGAAGCUUGAGUCCGGGAGAGGUGAGUGGAACUGCGAGUGUAGAGGUGAAAUUCGUAGAUAUUCGCAAGAACACCAGUGGCGAAGGCGGCUCACUGGCCCGGUACUGACGCUGACAGCGCGAAAGCCAGGGGAGCAAACGGG
rnacentral:rRNA from 1 species